GGUAGUAUGAGGCAGUUAUGUUAACAAGUAGAACAUAUGUUGAAUUUAUUCUUGUUCUUCUGCUGUUCAGUUGCAAUGCUGAACCAGAUGUAUUAGUAAAAAAAUGUGUUUUUGACACUUUAUGGCAGCUUAACAAGAUAAUAUUUCUUUGCAAAAUAAGUCACUAUAUGAAUGAAUUACACAUGGGAAGAACAUUGUUGAUUCAGAGAUUUCAGCUCUGUGGGCUCUGAAUGUGCCCUACUCCCUGACCUUAACCUUCAUGUACAGCCUCUUGCCCAGUAGGUAUCUUUGCACAUUUUUCCCAAACAAUUCUAAUUCUCCCCAAGGCAGAUGGAAUCUUCUGGUUGAAGAGAUGAAAAGUCAUAUGUAAGAAAGUGAGGAAGAAGAAGGAAUAAGAACAGGUACAGCAUUCCUGGGCAUUGUUGACACUCAUCACCUGGCAUCCCAUCCCAUUAGAUCGGAGUGGUAGGAAGAGUUUAUGAGAAGGCAUGUAGACCUCCGUGAUCCUGCCUGGAGACCAGCAUGGGAGAUGAGUGAGGGCAAUGGUUCUAAUGAGAUCCCCAGUCAAGGAGCAUUAGCAUCACUUGGGAUGAUAUUUGCUAAAAAUGUGUUCUUAGGCCCUAAUUAAGAUCUAAGUCAGAAUCUCUGGGGGUGGGACAAUUAGUCUAUGCUUUCAUAAGCUCUUCAGGUGAUCCUGUUACAUGUGAAAUUUUGAGAACUACCCUGGGCUGGGUUUUUGCCAUGAGUCAUUUAGUAACCACAAGUGAUAGGUACAUAAGAUUAAUUUUCUGUUCUCCUCAAAAGGCUUACUACUGAGAUGUCUUUGGGAGUUAGAUUCUUUAAGUAAUGAUGAUAAAAAAAAAACAAAAAACAUAUCUGUAGAAUACUGAAUAAGUAGCCUGA